AUACGGAGGAUGCAAGCGUUAUCCGGAUUUAUUGGGUUUAAAGGGUGCGUAGGCGGACAGUCAAGCAGGGGGUGAAAUGCCGGCGCUCAACGCCGGAGCUGCCUUCUGAACUGGCUGUCUGGAGUGGCAGUGCCGUUGGAGGAAUGAGUGGUGUAGCGGUGAAAUGCUUAGAUAUCACUCAGAACACCGAUUGCGAAGGCAUCUGGCGAACUGCCCACAGACGCUGAGGCACGAAAGCGUGGGGAUCAAACAGGAUUAGAUACCCUGGUAGUCCACGCAGUAAACGAUGAUGACUAACUGCCGGCCCGUUGCGGGUCGGUGGCCAAGCGAAAGCGAUAAGUCAUCCAUCUGGGGAGUACGACCGCAAGGUUGAAACUCAAAGGAAUUGACGGGG
rnacentral:rRNA from 1 species